UGGGGGACAUUGCACAAUGGGCGAAAGCCUGAUGCAGCGACGCCGCGUGGGGGAUGAAGGCUUUCGGGUUGUAAACCUCUUUCGCUAUCGAACAAGGCCCGCUUAGGGUGGGUUGAGGGUAGGUGGAGAAGAAGCGCCGGCUAACUACGUGCCAGCAGCCGCGGUAAUACGUAGGGCGCGAGCGUUGUCCGGAAUUAUUGGGCGUAAAGGGCUUGUAGGCGGCUUGUUGCGCCUGCUGUGAAAACGCGGGGCUUAACUUCGCGCGUGCAGUGGGUACGGGCAGGCUUGAGUGUGGUAGGGGUGACUGGAAUUCCAGGUGUAGCGGUGGAAUGCGCAGAUAUCUGGAGGAACACCGAUGGCGAAGGCAGGUCACUGGGCCAUUACUGACGCUGAGGAGCGAAAGCAUGGGUAGCGAACAGG
rnacentral:rRNA from 1 species